CACAGCUUUCUUUGUUCUGAAGUAAUUUAACAAGAUGUUUUCAUAUUUGUGUUGAAACUUUUCAUUGCAAAGGAUGUUUCCAAACUUUUUUAGCACUUUGGUUUAACUCUUACCGCUUAGUGCUGUGCGUCUGACUAGUUUUCAAACAAAACAAAAGCACACUGGCAUAAUGUAUCCUGAUGUUUUAAACUCGCCGUUCUCAGAUCUGACAGACGAAUGAGCGCGUGUGCAUUAAUGUACAUAAGACAUAAACCUGAGCAGGAAUAUUUACUCGGCCUGGAUAAUUAAUCUGAACUGUGCUAAACACGGAGCUGGAGAACAUUUCUAACACACGUCCAGACCUGUGCCAGCUUUAAACACUCUGAACGAUCCUCCAUCUUAAAAGCAUCAUAUAUCGUCCAGAGCGGCGAGCGUUCGACUCAUCUGCACAUUCCUCCUGCUCACACAGAACAUAUUUAACCACAGGAGUUUUGAUAAGGAUGUGCAAAUCCUUCGCUUUUCAAGACAAAUAGGUGGUUUUGGUGCAGAGGAGCUUCACCCACACAUCCCUCAACCUACGGCUGGAAUCAGAGCAGAGACGACACGGAUUUGUUUAGUUUCAGCACGAUGGAGCUCCAUUAUGCUGCUGUCACACAGCGUUAGAAGGGAACAUCAGGCACUUUCAUGUGCGGAUUAACUGCUGCCCGGAUCUCGCCUCCGCUAAUCCAUUUCUUUCUCUAAUAGCCACUAGCAGGAGGAAUAAUGCUGACGCUCCAGGAAUCCAGACCAAGAUCUGGACAGGACCUUCAGAAAUCUGAUCAUCAGGUUAUUAAGGAAAUGUCGGGCGCGCUGCCCUGAUGGCGUGCUGCUCCAGUGAUCCCGCAGAUGGAGAGUUUAAUCCCUGGCCCCCGUUCUGUCGCCGGUGUGACCCGCUUCCCUUUGGGGUUCCCUGAUCUGCCGGCCGGUGAUGUCAUCAUUCCGGUGCGUGAGACGGAAGCUCCGCUGAGCGUCUGUAAACGUCUGACUUGAAACUGAUGUGUCAGCAGUGUGUAGAGCCCUAUAAUGCUGACACAUCAGUUUCUCCUCAGACCCUGCUGAAUCAGAGCCAGAGCAGAUUGUGCCACAUAAUACCUGCAUUUUUUUUUUUUUUUUUUUGCUGAUUUGCAAAUAUAUAUUUUAUAAUAUUAGAUGAUGCUGAGUUGAAAAUUAUCAAUAAAACUUUCCGUCACAGUUUUUUCACAAAAUAAGAAUGAAGACAAGACAGUUCAUAGUCACCACGAGCAUCACAAAAGAAUCAUAACUGUAGUCCAUAUGACUUGUGUUUUAUAUUCCAGGUAAUCUGCUGAAGCUCUCAAAUCUCACGUUCAGGUUCAUUAAUGUCUUGUUUGAUUUUAUCUUAAUAACCAUAAUGGUACAUAUUUUUCUAAGAUCAACAGAAUCCAUCAGGAUUUGGUUGCAUCAUUAAAAUUGUUUUGUUAUA